GACGAACGCUGGCGGCGUGCCUAAUACAUGCAAGUCGAACGCAGUGGGGACGGGUGAGUAACACGUGGGUAACCUCCCAUCAGAGGGGAUAACACUUGGAAACAGGUGCUAAACCGAUAAUGCUGGAUGGACCCGCGGUGCAUUAGCUAGUUGGUGAGGUAAAGGCUCACCAAGGCCACGAUGCAUAGCCGACCUGAGAGGGUGAUCAGACACACUGGGACGGAGACACGGUCCAGACUCCUACGGGAGGCAGCAGGAGGGAAUCUUCGGAAAUGGACGAAAGGCUGACCGAGCAACGCCGCGUGAGUGAAGAAGGUUUUCGGAUCGUAAAACUCUUUUGGUAGGGAAGCGUUACCUAACCAGAAAGCAACGGCUAACUACGUGCCAGCAGCCGCGGUAAUAC
rnacentral:rRNA from 1 species